CGUUCAUCACGAAUAGUCGUGUCCUUUUGCCGCACUUGCCUCUUCAGUUCGUAGGACAUGUGAACAGACGUCAACUGUAGCUCAUCGGUGGCUUUUUACGUUUACCGAAUCACGAGGACACGGAGGCUUGGCUACUGUUUAUUGUAAGGUCCGACCUGGAACGUGUGGUCGAUUCCCCUUGCUUCUCUGCUCUCUUAGGUCUAGUUCAUCGGUAUUAGCAACAGAGGUUAUAUCAAGAAUUAAGAAAGCUUAACCGAGUGAAACUGCUCGCUAAGUGUUAUGUGAUAAGGCAUAUAACGGUUAGCAUAGCGCGGGAACAUGCUUCAUCUUUAACGGUAUUAUAUCGAGACUUACGACAUGGUUGGUUACGUGUAUUUUGUGUGUAAUACGUUUGAAACACGUGGUCGCAAUUCAGUCGUAGUCGCAUGUUCUAUGAGUUGUGUGAUCCUAUCUUUCUGGGAUAAGUCUUUUCGCGUGAUCAAACCGAAGCAUCUACGGAGGAAGUCUAGCACAAUCGAUAAACUUUUAUAUCGAACAUGACGAAAGUUUUUUGAACGUAUCUGCGGAACAUUUAUUUGGAUAUAACGCCAGUAUAUCUGAAUGCUUUGCUAAGACAAAUAUAUGAAUAUGGAUUGGUGGAAUAUCGAAAACACCAGAUAAUGAAUGCAAAAGGCGUUGGAAGAAUCUGUGGAAUUCUUUAUUCAAUUUCAUACUCAAGAAUAAACUUCCUCGAAGAUCUGAUACUACAAAUACAUUUACGAAAUAGUUAAUGUUUAAUUAUCUACAUUUCUUCAGUGAUGUUCCAGGGGAAGAAUGUUAAUACCAAAAUACAUGCAAAUAGCAAGGACGAAGCUUUAUCAUUUAUAGAUCAAAUUACAAACCAUAUUCUAUACAAUGCUUAAUACAAGUCAAAAAUUAAUUACUAUAUUGUCCAGUGUAUUUAUUGUUAAAUAUUGUCCCAGAACUGUCACACAUGCAAACGAAAUCGAAAUUCUCAGAUUCUGAUGAGGAAGUGAUACAUCUACUUACUUAACCCUUCAACCAUGGGAAACGUGGAAUUCGUGUUCUAAAUAUUUUGUAAGAUGUUCCUGUUUAACUGAGUUUUAACAUCUCUUGAAUAUUUUAUCAGGCUACUGUUAGUUACCAUCUAUCCCGUUAUUUAUUAGUCCCGUUAGCUGGUUAGUUUCUAUCUCAUUCUUAGGACGCAUCUGCAUAACAAAUAAAACUAACCCGCGGUUUCAUACCGAAAAAUCGAAACCUAGCCCGGGGUUAGAGGGUUAACAAGUUCGCUACCAGCGAUUAUUUCGAUGACGGUCUCCUCAAUCAUAAUAUUUGCCUCAAUCCAAUAAAUCUGUCAAACAAAAUAUUAGAAAAAUGAAUCUGAAACGAGUCAUUGAGUUCCUAAUUAUAAUGUCGUGGCUUAUAAUUUGUAAUAACAAUAUCUAUAGGAUUAAUUUCAUUUUCAUUAUGUAAAAUAUAGGAUUACGGCUGUCACAAAUAUGUGACGCUGGUAGUGAACGUGUUAAAUAGUUACAUAAACACUUCACGAACGGAGGAAGACGAAUAUUUUAAGAGCGUGGAAAAUGGAAAUCUUACAAAUUCCUUUAAAGGAUGUAUAAAAUCUGUAGCAAAAAGUUCGUUAUGAAUUGUUUAUUCUGAGCUAGAAAUGAAAUCUUUAGUAUGUUAUAAACAUUAAUAAACAUUAACGCAUUCAUGCUAAUUAAUUAAGAAUGGCCGUAUAAAUUUUCAGUACAAUGUACACUGAUUUCACUGGAAAAAUACCAUCAACAUAUACUUGUACAAGGCAGGAGAUAAACAAUAAAGAAAAUAUAUAAUUAUACAAUUAUAAUGUAUAAUUUAUGAUUGACUUCCAGUGAAAAAAGUUAAAAUAAUAGUUUAACGUCCAACGCCCUGGAAACAUAAUUUUGUCAUCUUUCACGUGGAUGCACGCGAUCUUUGACGUGGAUGCACGUCUUUUCAAAUAUUUUUUUCAACAUUUGCGACAAAGACUAUUAUUUCAAAACAAAUUUUAUAUUUUUUGUUCCUCCUAACGUCAGAAAUUUGCAGCAUUAAGUUUAAGAGUUAGGUUUUCAUCGACAAUGAGUAUUAGAAAAGUGAAAAAUUUCCUGGUUGUAAAUGCGUUAAGAUGACGUAGAACCUGCUCUUAUUGCUUUUGCUUCGUUUUUCAUUGAUAAAAUAAGAAUGAAUAAAUCAUUAUCCAUUUCUUCGGCUUGAUACUUGGCAUCUGAAUAAAUACAAGUUUAUUCGCAGCAGCAAUUCACCCUACAAUCGCCGACUGCGAUAGCUUGAAAUAAACAAAGUAAAUUAUUUAGAAUUCAUAAAACAUAUAUCAAUACAUCAACAAAGAUAUUCUAUAAAGAAAAUUAAAUAUAUAACUAAGUAUUUAACCAAAGUAAUAUAAUUCUAGCAAUGUGAGCAUGCGACAAAAUAUAGAAGUAAAAGUUAUUAAUUAUCUUGAAUAAUUUUGCUGCAUGAAUGCUGAAUUUUGUGAUGCUAAAAUGUACAUACUUUUUUAUAAUCAAUUGGUGUGAAUAUAUCAUUUAUAUUUUUAUUAAAUAAAUUAGUAUUUGUUAAAAUUACAGACCGUGCUAUAUGAUAAACUAAGUUACUCAAGAAUUUGUUUAAUUUUAUGUAUUGCACUGAUAAAAUUUCUUUCUUGUAUAUACGCUUAAUUAUAAGAUUAAUUCUACUUUGGGAGACAAAGUAAAUAUCACGAAUUCAGGAGUUUCUAUGUACGGUUGUGAUUUUAGUUCUGUGGCAGACAUUGCCUCCAUGUACUGUGCGUUACUGAUGUGAGCCAAGUCGGUCUGUGGCUCAAAAAUGAAGAGGGGCAAGAGGACUCGGUCGCACGCUCACCUCAGUUCGCGGCUCGGUCAGUUACAAAAACGCGCCGAAACUAAUUCCGCCAUUACUAUCGGGCCGAGCGCCGCGAGUGAACGUUUUUCCUUGCCCCUCUUCACUUUUAAGCCACUGGCCGACUUGGCUCACGUGAGUAACGCACUGUAUCUAUAUUUGAUAUAGGCGGAGAAUGAGAUACUGAACAUUCACAACGGUGAUAACCGUGUAUUUUACAUUAUAUCGUACGUUAUAUGUUCCUCAUUGUUUUUCAUGAAAGUGAAAUGUAAACAUGAUCUUCUUUGAGUAACUAUACAGACAGGUCUUGUUUAUUUAACUGUACUUAUUACUAGGAGUAUAGUUCAAAGUUGUCUGAUUAUUUCGUUUACUUUUAUUUGUACUAAAAGAAAAAAUUCGCAUGAAACAAUUGGUAAAUGUUUUAUAGAUAUUUAAUAACUAUUAAGGGGAACUUGAAUAACCUCUUGGCUAAUGUUAGCGUCCAUAGACGCUCAAAUCACGCUGCUCGAAAUGAACUAAAAGAGACGCCUGUGAGAUGCAGUUGAUAAUAAUUGCAGCAAAGCUCACUUGAAUCAGACGUAAAUGAAAUCUAAUUCAACAAUUACAUUUUCUGUUAGUCAUAUAUUACAUAAAUGUUAUGAUUUCAUAUUGAUUUUGUUAGUUUUGGGUUUGAUUAGCAAUAAAUAAAGAUUUUAUAACUGUAUAAUAGUUUUACGUUUAUUAAGUUUACACGAGACUUUCUUGACACGUAUAGCGAAGUCACAAUAUUCACGUUGUGGCUUGGAGUGACUAAAAAUUUGGACGUCGGUCUGCUAGCUAUGUUUAGGCUUCGUCAGAUGUACAAGAUAUUUAUAGAGUUAGGUUUACAACUUAAUGCAGCGAUAAUGCUAACAGAGCACUUCGAUAUGCAUAAUUGUUGCUUUUAGAUAGAGGUGAUGAUGAACACGUUUGCAAAUGGACGCAGGCAUGGUAUGAUGUCAUGUUGGCAACGUUGAAGAUAGAAUUAACAAAAGUGGUAGUAAUAGAAAUAAUCGUGAUAUCGAUAAUAAUAGUAGUAAUAAUAAUUAUUACCAAUAUAUAGGGUCUUUAGUAGGGUAGGAUGUAACAUUAGGAAUUGUUUAACACAUUGACUGCCACGGUGGUCACCGAUGACUGGAGCUUCUAAAUUAUUUGAAAGCAAGUACAAUAAGAACAUGGAUAUUGAAUAAAAAUAUUUAGUAACAUAAGCAGCUAGAAAAUAGUAUAAUAUGAGUACUGUAAUUCCAAAUCAUUAAUAAAGAUUUCUAAUACCAUUUGCCCUUUUUAUGGAAGAAUAAGUAUUACUACACGAAACGUUCGAAAUUCUCGUGGCAAUCAAUGUGUUAACAAGCGUUUUCAUCGCAGGCCCAUAAUGACAUUCUGUAAAUCUAAGUAAUCCUCGAGACAGUACGGUAGAAGCUAGGUUUUCACCUUGGACAUUGACAUUUUCGUGUCUGUUUCUGCUGCAAUCGUAUGUUCAUCAUUGACUGACUAUACUAUUCAGAUGGAAUAUGUACCCUAAGUCUGUGCAUUACUGGUUUGUAGCGGAUCUCAGACCAGUUUUGAAGUAGCCUGGCUAUGUCACAUAUUUUUAUCUGUGAAAUUCUUAAUUUAGUAUUAAGGUACGAAUAUAUUAUAUACCUUAACAAUUUCAUUGCAUUGUGUAUGAAAAUUACACCUUUUAAACAGUAACUAACUUUUAAGAUCCUAACUAUCUGUGUGUAACUAAAAGAUUGAAGUAAUGUAUUAAAAUAAGGGACUGAUCUUUAAGACACACGUCACUCUCAGUAAAAUUGGGAUAUACUAUUACUAUAGUAAACAUUAAUAUUAAAUAAAUAUUACUGUAGUCGGAUACUCCUGAGCAGAACAAUUUUCUAUUCAAAUUUCUCAUUUCGAGGUUAUUUUGAGUUACUGAAAUCUAAAAUCAUAAUGUUCUUUUCAUGGAAAUGAAUGGUUUUACAAAUAUAGUAUAAAGUAAUUGAAAUAUCUUUAACCUAUAUAUAUAUUAUUCUCACAGUACUUUAACUUGUUAAGGUCUAAUUUGACAAUUAUAAAGUGAAAGAGUGGGCGGGGAAGGGACUGCAACCCCUCUUCAGAAAAACACAAUUUUUAUUAUCAGAAUGAAACUUUUCUUGUAAUAACCAUUUAAAUAAUAACUAACGCGAACCAAGCUCUUCACUUUAAGCUUCUUAUUCCUUGUCAAUAUUUACCUCCAUCAGAAUACGCGUUAUUGCUUUCAAGCAACCAGUCGCCAAUAAUUCCAGCACCGUAUUCGAACAGAUAAUAAUAUUAAUAAUUAUCCAAUUUUCAGAGAUUAUUCUAGUAAUGAUAUUUAUUCUAAUCACAGUUCUUAACUCCUUGACUUAUAACCACGUGCCAAACUCAUGGUGAGGAUUUUCAAUGUGAUUUAACAAACAUAAAUAUUACUCGAUGCAUUCGAAUUUAAAGUAAAUAUUAUUCUCCUGUAAUCAAUUAUUAUAUUUAAAAGCAAACAUUGACAUAGA